rnacentral:misc_RNA from 1 species
CUGAUAAUUCAGGCAACAUGAUCAUAUGAACUUGUGAUUCAAAUCCACCAAACAUAUAGAUUACACACUGAAAUGUAUAGCUAUUCUCUACCAUGGAAGAUCUCAAUCUUGGUCUUUAAGAAGAUCCCAACAGAUUCUGUAUGUCUUUCUCAAUUUUAAGGGGUGAUGUAGUCGGAGCAUAUCGCUCCACAACCUUUCCCUCCUUGUUCACUAAAAAUUUUGUGAAAUUCCACUUGAUGGCAUCUACAAAUAAUCCACCUUUUUCUGAUUUUAGGUACUUGUAGAGGGGCGCUGUGUUCUUCCCAUUUACCUCGAUCUUAUCAAAGAUUGGGAAUUCAGCUUUGAACAUUGUGCAUGCAACUUCUUGAAUCUCCUCAUUGCUUCCUGGUUCUUGUCCAGCAAACUGGUUGCAAGGAAAUGCCAGGAUUUCAAAACCUUGGUUUUUGUACUUUUCAUACAAGACAUUCAAUUCCUUGUAGUUUGAUUGCGUAAAGCCACAUUUGGAAGCAACAUUCACAAUCAGGAGAACCUUCCCACUGUAUUUGCUCAGACUCACAUCAUUUCCCUGAAUAUCCUUGACAGUGAAAUCAUAGAUAGACUUGGGAGAUUCUUGAGCCAUGUUCCUGGAAGAAAAAAAGAGGGGUGUUUGGUAGCUAUAGAAGAGCAAGACCGCAAAAACAAGAAAGGCAAGAGAAACCCAAUUCGUGAAAUGCAUGAUUCAGAAACUGCUAUAUAUAAU